rnacentral:rRNA from 1 species
GAGAGGGCAAGCAUGCCUCAUACCCUGAGCCCCUUCUAGCCCUGGACGUGUACGACGAUCAAUUUGUUUUGCCUCUUGAAUGGGCAAAAGAACUAGAAUGAAAAAGAGCGCAUGUGAUGUUGCUAUCCCUUUCGCUAUGUGUUCGUAGGUGGCACCAUGACUCCUUUUUUCAUGGAAAACCAAAAUGACUCUUAGCAAUAGACAUCUUGGGUUUUGCAUUGAUGAAGAACGUAGCAAAAUGUUAUACUUGGUGAGAAUUGCAAAAUCCCAUGUGUAGAAAAAUUCUUUUAGUUUUGUUGGCAUCCACAAAAACAUUCAGCUAAAAAAUCAGUGUAAAAGAUUUUGUGGCCAUUUGAAAAAAGUGUCCCCAUUUCAAACACUUGAAUGGCUACUGACUGUGAACCGUAAAAGCUUUGAUGCUCAUUAAGGGGGUAUGAGUUAUUGAGGUUCAUUGGAGGAUAAGGGGGCUAAUAUAAGGGCCAAUGACCAAUGCCCAUCACACAUCAUGUGCACACACCCAUUGGCCCUUCACCUUUAAUCAUUGAAACCCCUAUUGCUGUCAGUUUAGUUUUUUAUAUGCUAUGGAUUGGAGUAAUGAUUAAUAAGGAUAGUCAAGGACAUUCGUAUUUCAUAGUCAAAAGUGAAAUUCUUAGAUUUAUGAAAGAUGAACAACUGUGAAAGCAUUUGCCAAGGAUGUUUUCAUUAAUCAAGAAUAAAAGUUAAAGGCUCAAAGACGAUUGGAUAUUGUCUUAGUCUUAACCAUAAACGAUGCCAACCAAGGAUCAACGGAUGCUACUUUUAGGACUCCUCAGGCACUUUAUAAGAAAUCAAAGUUUUAGGUUUCAAGUAGAGUAUAGAUAUAAGGCUAAAACUUAAAGAAAUUGAUGAAAGGGCACCACUAGUAGUGGAGCCUAUGGCUUAAUUUAACUCAACACACGAAAACUUACCAAGUCUAGACAUACUAAGGAUUGAUAGAUUAAGAGCUCUUUUUUUAUUCUAUAGGUGGUAGUGCAUGGCCAUUCUUAGUUGGAGGAACGAUUUGUUUGGUUAAUUUAAUUAACGAACGAGACCUCAGCCUACUAACUAACUAUGCGAAGGUGAACCUUCAUGGCUAGCUUCUUAGAAUGACUAUGACUUUUUAGGUUAAGGAAGUUUAAGGCAAUAACAAGUCUAUGAUACCCUUAGAUAUUUUAGGCCACACACACAAUACACUAAUGUAUUCAAUAUGUUUAUAGCCUUGGCUGAUAAGACCAGGUAAUCUUUGAAAUUUCAUCAUGAUAGGGAUAGAUUAUUGCCAUUAUUGGUCUUUAAUGAGGAAUUCCUAGUAAGCGUAAGUCAUCAGCUUGCAUUAACUACAUCUCUACCCUUUGUACACACCACCUGUCACUCCUACCAUUGAAUGGUCCAUAAAGUGUUCAAAUCAUGGUGACGUGGAUGGUUUGUUGCCUGUGACAUCAUGAUAAGUCCAUUAAACUUUAUAAUUUAGAGGAAGGAGAAGUCAUAACAAGGUUUUCAUAGGUGAACUUGUGGAAG